GACGAACGCUGGCGGCGUGCUUAACACAUGCAAGUCGAACGGAAAGGCCCUGCUUUUGUGGGGUGCUCGAGUGGCGAACGGGUGAGUAACACGUGAGUAACCUGCCCUUGACUUUGGGAUAACUUCAGGAAACUGGGGCUAAUACCGGAUAGGAGCUCCUGCUGCAUGGUGGGGGUUGGAAAGUUUCGGCGGUUGGGGAUGGACUCGCGGCUUAUCAGCUUGUUGGCGGGGUAGUGGCUUACCAAGGCUUUGACGGGUAGCCGGCCUGAGAGGGUGACCGGCCACAUUGGGACUGAGAUACGGCCCAGACUCCUACGGGAGGCAGCAGUGGGGAAUAUUGCACAAUGGGCGGAAGCCUGAUGCAGCAACGCCGCGUGCGGGAUGACGGCCUUCGGGUUGUAAACCGCUUUCGCCUGUGGCGAAGCGUGAGUGACGGUAAUGGGUAAAGAAGCACCGGCUAACUACGUG
rnacentral:rRNA from 1 species